AAAUGGAUUUGAGUUUCAAUGCUUUUAAAAGCACAGAAGCUCAAUAUGCUUGUGAUUCUUUAAUCAUCGAAUUGUCUCAAAAUUCAUGCAGCACUAAUAAAAAAGACUUAAUGAAACAUAAUGUUAAUAGUACUGUAUAGAUAUUAAAGCCAUCCGACGGGUAAAAAGUCACAAAUGCAAAUGCUCCUGUGCUCUCAACCCAUAAAAAU
rnacentral:lncRNA from 1 species